UACGGAGGGGGCUAGCGUUGUUCGGAAUUACUGGGCGUAAAGCGCACGUAGGCGGCUUUGUAAGUUAGAGGUGAAAGCCCGGGGCUCAACUCCGGAAUUGCCUUUAAGACUGCAUCGCUUGAAUCCGGGAGAGGUGAGUGGAAUUCCGAGUGUAGAGGUGAAAUUCGUAGAUAUUAGGAAGAACACCAGUGGCGAAGGCGGCUCACUGGCCCGGUACUGACGCUGAGGCGCGAAAGCGUGGGGAGCAAACAGG
rnacentral:rRNA from 1 species